UACGUAGGGUGCAAGCGUUAAUCGGAAUACUGGGCGUAAAGCGUGCGCAGGCGGCUUUGCAAGACAGAUGUGAAAUCCCCGGGCUCAACCUGGGAACUGCAUUUGUGACUGCAUGGCUGGAGUGCGGCAGAGGGGGAUGGAAUUCCGCGUGUAGCAGUGAAAUGCGUAGAUAUGCGGAGGAACACCGAUGGCGAAGGCAAUCCCCUGGGCCUGGCACUGACGCUCAUGCACGAAAGCGUGGGGA
rnacentral:rRNA from 1 species